rnacentral:sRNA from 1 species
GAAAGGAAAUGGUUAUAAGUGUUGUCUAAACACUUCUUGUCCAUCCCUAACUCUUAUAAUUACUCAAAUGCAUUAGAUUGUGAUACAUUUUGAUUAUAGAAACACUAACAAUUCUAUUUACUGUUU